rnacentral:lncRNA from 1 species
AAAAAGAGGUAAGCAAACAGCAGAGUGGAAAACAAAGGAAAUACUUCAGACUGCUAUUAUCUCAUUUCAGCGUAGCAGACACGCUGCCGGAUGGACAAGUCAAGUCUUUGUCACAGAUUAGAAGUAAAGCAUCCAGACCACCAAAGCAAAGAUGGAGUCUGGCUCUGUCGCCCAGGCUCGAGGGCUCCAGUACAGUGGUGCAAUCUCAGCUCACUGUAAUAACUGCCUUCCGGGUUCAAGCGAUUCACCUGCCUCAGCCUCCCCAGUAGCUGAUAUCACAGAUCCAACUUUUCUUCAUGGUAGAGAUACCCUAACUGCCCUCCAAACAAAGUUGCUAGUAUUGGAAGGAGGUUUGAGGAUACUCAUCUAGUGCAAGAGAUCCCUCAUCAAUUUCACUUCAUCUUUUCACAGAGCUUCCGGUUGUAUAAUUCUGCAGUGUAAUUCAGUUACUACCAAAGAAUCUCAUGUCAUUUUUUAACACUUUUCACUGCUUGAAAGGUCCAUAGGUUAAAUAUGGAAUUUACAACUUUACCUUUUCCACUAUCCUUUUGUACAUCUUUAACCAAUCAACAAACAUCUCUCAAUUUAUUUUCCUUAAAUGUAAUAAGUAAAAAGUGUGGUUGAGUGGAAGAUUACCAAAGUCCUCUGAUUUAGAUGUAUUGUAUUGUGUUGUUUUGUUUUUUUCCUCCCGGAAGUUCA